CAGCCGCCGCGGUAAUACGUAGGUGGCAAGCGUUGUCCGGAAUUAUUGGGCGUAAAGGGCUCGCAGGCGGUUUCUUAAGUCUGAUGUGAAAGCCCCCGGCUCAACCGGGGAGGGUCAUUGGAAACUGGGAAACUUGAGUGCAGAAGAGGAGAGUGGAAUUCCACGUGUAGCGGUGAAAUGCGUGGAGAUGUGGAGGAACACCAGUGGCGAAGGCGACUCUCCGGUCUGUAACUGACGCUGAGGAGCGAAAGCGUGGGGAGCGAACAGGAUUAGAUACCCGAGUAGUCCCUGUCUCUUAUAC
rnacentral:rRNA from 1 species